GGCCGCCAUUUUUCAUUUUCCCGCCUGCUUCGCUGUGUCUCCUGUCGUCUGCUCUCUUGCGUCGUACCGUAACCCGCGGUCCCGCUGCUCGUAAUUACUCGCCAACACCGGCAGCGCUUGACGACGUUGCACGCUGCGCGUGUACCCGCCUCGGGCCGACUCUGGAAGAACUGGCUUCGUUCCCCCGAGCCUGCAAAAAUGUGAGCCACGCUUCGAGAGACUUGGUGCCCGGCCCGCCUGCCGACACCGCAGCAGCCGACGUCGACUACCGGCUGCUGCCAGAGACUGCUCGUUGCUCGACCCGUGAAAGAGCGGUGACUGCGGACAGUUCUUCGUGCCUGCAGUCGAGGACUCGCUUUUCUUUGUGCGCUUGUCCACUCUUCGGCGACUACUGGACUAUGAACUGUGGAUCUGGAACGCGGACCGUGGCCACUAACCGAGGACCUGCGCAGCAACCCCUCGUCACAGCGAGCGUCGUCUCUGCGAGACUUCCACGCGUCGAGCGUCUUAAACGCUCACCAAGUAGGUGCCACAGGUGGUGCCCAAGCUGGCGAGGGUGGCGCACGCCUUAGAGUAGUUAACUGUUUGUUCAGUUAGACUAAUUAGCGCUCGCUACAUUGUUCCUUGCAUUUGAAAAUUGCGUAGUUACUUUUGUUGCUCAGCUGUAAGCCCGAGGUUUCGUGGGCAUGGCUUGCGGCCACACGGGUCUUCUCCGUGCCGGAAUCGAGGAGGACGGGCCACGUGUGUGCGGGGUGGCGGCGCGUAUAGCUUCAGGUGUAGCUGACACAAGGCUUAGCUCACACUAGGCAGGCUAGCUGAUAGCCGUCCUCUUUCGGCUUCGUCAGGGACACGGACCCAUCCGAUUUGCGUUGCGACCCGACCCCACUGUUUCGGGACAAGGUAGCCCGGGCGCGUCAGUGCUAUCGAGCGAAACGUGGAAUCUCGGGAAGCAAACGGCAUUCGGAAAUUGCCUCGCCAGCUUUUUAGCUGCUACUAAUACUGUUACUGCAGCACUCGACGCCGGACGUCGUCGCCUGCCGUGUUCAUCGGAGCUCGGCCCGGGCAGCAGCUACAAGCACCACUCGCUACGUGGUCUACCGUGUUCCCUCGCCGGUGGGCGUGUUCCUUGCCGGCGAGACCAUGGCUGUCGCUUUGCACUACUACGGGAUCCCGACGUCCGCUUUCGAGAUUGCGGACCACGAGUAUGGAAGGAUAUCCAGCGUGCUGCUCCACGUUUGCCGUCCUCCCAACGUCACCCCAGGAGACGGCCUUGAGCACGGCUCGUAUACCGUGGAUGACCGCGUUGGCUCCAUUGCAGUUGCACACCCACGACGUCCUACUCGCAGACUUCGCUAGGAGCCCUGCUACUACAGGAUCUUGACCUCUGCUUAUGAUUGCCGCCCACGUGUAGGAUGAUAUCCAGUGCGCUGCUCCACGUUUGCCAUCCUCCCACGUCCCAGAGGAGAUGGCCCCUGAGCACCACCCGUACAGUGACCGACCCUUGCCGGUUUGGUCUUGCUGGCAGACCAGAUUGCUCGUUGCCUUGCACUGUACCACGGGAUCCCUACAUUUGCUUUUGAUGGCGGCCCACGAGUAAAAAAUCAAGCGUGCUGCUCCACGUUUGCCAUCCUCCCGACGUCAACCCAGGAGAUGGUCUUGAGCACCGCUCGUACCGUGGCCUACUGUGUUUGUUGUUUUGAAUUCCCUCACCGAUGGCGUCCUCCUGGCAGGCGGGUCCGGACUC
rnacentral:lncRNA from 1 species